UACGUAGGUGACCAGCGUUGUCCGGAUUUACUGGGCGUAAAGAGCGCGCAGGCGGUCGUUCAAGUCGAGUGUGAAAGCCCCCGGCUCAACUGGGGAGGGUCACUCGAUACUGAUCGACUUGAAGGCAGGAGAGGGAAGCGGAAUUCCCGGUGUAGUGGUGAAAUGCGCAGAUAUCGGGAGGAACACCAGUAGCGAAGGCGGCUCGCUGGGCCAUACCUGACGCUGAGACGCGAAAGCGUGGGGAGCAAACAGG
rnacentral:rRNA from 1 species